CAGAGUUCAUGGGGACUCCAGGGAAGACACACUCAUGUGGGUUCCACGCCAGUAUACCUGAACAUGCAGUUGGCCCUGGAACUACCAGACAGGUGCCGCCAGCAUCCCUAUCAUUCAGUCAAUCCAUGGAUGACCAUGUGAUUUAGGUUUAAGACCCAAGUGAUUGGGGCAAUAGGGAUGUCCAUGAUGCUUCUGGGGAUUCUGGCUUUUCUAAAAGAAAAACAAACCAAAACCCAGUGGAUAGUUCCCUUCUGUUUUAGUAUUAUAUCUUGUCCUGGAGUGGAGGACCUCUGAGCCAUGCUGGCAAAGUCACGGUGGGGGAACCAGUAUUAGUAUAUUUUCUGGGCUAAGAAGGGACAAAUCAUCGUAUCUGUUGACCUGGAAGUCCUACCAAAUUUGAGGGCAGAGGGCAGUGCUAGUUUCAAUUUCUUGUUUUUCAUUUAAGAAUGACUAAUUAUUUUACAUUGUUACCAUACAUAUAAAAAAGGGUUGCAAAGAAUUGGACAUAAAAAUGACACAUACUUAACAGUAAAAAUUCAAGCAGUGUGGGAAAAUAUAAGUAAAAAAGGGAGAUAAUAUCCAAUCUCUGCAACCCAGAAGUAACCAUCAGGGCUUUAGAAAUUUCUAAAUACUUGCCCGAGCAUAUAUCCAAAUAGAAAGAUAGACAAAGUGAGACACAAAUAUUUUACCAAUAUGUAAUUUUUGUUAAAAUGUUAACUGUAGUUUUACUAAAGUUUUUUGUUAAAAACGUCAACCACCAUUUUAACACAAAGAAUAUGCUUAAGAAAAUUAGAAGAAUUAAUAAAUAUUUCUUGCUCUUCUGAAAGAAGUACUAAUUUCUAAAAGAUCCCUAUAAGAUUAAGAAAAAUCAUUGUGUAAAACAUGAAAUAGUUGGGAUCAUUACAUAUUUUUUAACUGUUUUAAUUUCACUCGAGGUUCUGAAAGAUAAGGAAAUCAGCUCUACCUCCUGCUUUUUUUAAAGCUAUACUGUACAAUAUAAUUUUCUCAUUAUAAAUAUUUGCAUUGUGUUCUAUAAUCACAAUUCUUAUAGAUGUUAAAUCAUUGUUCUAUAUUUAAAUGGAUUCAUUGCUGACAAUUAGUGUUUUUCCCCCCUUAAACUAAACCUUUCUUCCUAAGUUUUAAUUCCUAUCUCAGAAUAAUUGCUUUUAAUUUUAAUUCAUAUCAGAAUAACUGUUUCAUCAAGAAUGGCUCAUUAACACUGCUCAGUCCUUGCACGUCUGGGGAUACCUGCCUCUUGUUUAUAUCCACAAGGGACAACUUAGCUAGGCAUAACAUUCCUAGUCUACUUUUUUUCCCCUCGGAACUUUGUAGAUGCUGCUCCAUUGUCUUCUGCACUUAGUAUCAUAAUAGCUUUUAAACUAUGAAUUCUCUACACACCUCUUGCUUAGCUAGAUACACAUCCUGUGGACCUUCAUACACUUUGUUAGAAAGGCUUUGGGUCACUGUCUUCUGUGAGGUCUUCAUCUCUGAGAAUGUCUAACCAUGACUGUUACACUUGUACUCAUCUGCUUGUUUUUUUCAUACUCUUCUAUGCUUUUCAGUUCUUUUUACACUUAGACAUUUUGACAAUACUUACAGUUCAUUUCUCUCAGGUUUAAGGGUGUAAGUGCUAGUCUUUGGUGAGUUGGUUGACUCAGAAUAAUACUUUCCUUCACGGGUUCUGUAACUCUUUUCUGUGAGGUUAUCAUCAGGGGGAUUAAUGUUUGUGUGGUUUGUUGUGCCCUUGACAACACUGUGGUUCUGCAUUUGGGUUUGUGUGGCAUCAGGCUUCCAACAGUCAGGACUCAUUUGUUGGCCUCAGGAGCCCCAUACCUUAUAUCUGGUAUAAAUCCUCGCCACAUCUUGGUCCAGGAACUUGGCUUCUCACAGGGGAGCACAUUCUACCCACAACUUGCAUGGAAAUAAACUCUCUUGUCCUCUCUCAAAAAAAAAAAA
rnacentral:lncRNA from 1 species